rnacentral:misc_RNA from 1 species
GUGAAUCAUCAAAUCUUUGAACGCACAUUGCACUCUUUGGUAUUCCGAAGAGUAUGCCUGUUUGAGGGUCAGUUUAAACAAAAAUCGUUUUCUUUGUUGCCUUUCGUUGUGACUUACCAGAGAUGGGUCGUAUUACGUUCGGUUAAGUGACUUAAAAUUUUGCAUGUUAAUUUUCGUUCGUA